GCAGAGUGUGGUGGUGCAUGCCUGUAAUCCCAGCAACUUGGGAGGCUGAGACAGGAGGAUUACAGGUUUGAGGUCAGCCUUUGCAACUUAGCAAGACCCUGUCUCAA
rnacentral:sRNA from 1 species